ACCAAUGCUUGGUAUUGUCUGGCUUUUUGAUUACAGACGUCCUUGACAUAACGAUGGUUCGACUUAGGAUUUUUCAACUUUGCAAUGAUGUGAAAGCAAUGCACAUUCUGUAGAAACUGUUCAUCGAAGUUUUGAAUUUGAUCUUUUCCCUGGUUGGGAUAUGCGGUGCAAUAUUCUCUCUUGAUACUGGGAAGUGGCAGCCAGCUGUAGCUCCCAGUCAGCCUUGUGAUCACAAGGGUAAACUUUACAGUGUACUGUUUGCCCACACUUUUUGCAUAUUGGGUUCUGUGUUUUUAUAACCGAUCAUGUCUACAAAGCGCCCACCUGUGUCUCCUGAUUCUGGUGAAAAGAAGAGGAGGAAGGCAAUUACUCUUGAGAUGAAACUGAAAAUCAUUGCUCAGCAUGAGGGUGGCAAACCAGUAAUGGUCAUCUCACGUGAGUUAGGACUUUCCCAAUCCACCAUCUCGACCAUUCUAAAGGAUAAGAAGCGAAUCAGUGAUGCAGUGAAAUCGUCGGCAUCAAUUAAGUCCACUGUCAUCACAAAGAAAAGAGCUGGGCCAAUUGAUGAUAUGGAAAAGUUACUGGUCAAGUGGAUAGAAGAGCAGAUUCAGAAUCGUAUACCACUUAGCCUACUGAUGAUCCAGGCUAAGGCAAGAAGUCUUUUCAAUAUGCUAAAAGAGCAUGCCGAUCCUACGUAUACACAGAUGUUUACAGCAAGUCAUGGAUGGUUCCAACGUUUCAAAAAGCGUCAUAAUUUUCAUACUGUUAAGGUCACGGGCGAGGCAGCAGGUGCUGAUAUUGAAUGUGCUGAAGCUUUUAAGGAAGAGCUGCACAGUAUAAUUGUAGAUCAGAAAUAUUUACCUGAACAAAUAUUUAACGUUGACGAAACAAGCUUGUUCUGGAAGCGUAUCCCAGAGUGCACAUACAUUCAUCAAGAGUCCAAGGCAAUACCAGGAUUCAGAGACCAUGUAACUCUGCUUUUGGGUGGAAAUGUUGUAGGGCUCAAAUUAAAGCCUUUGCUAAUCUACCACUCGGAGAACCCUAGAGCCUUCAAGAAUGUGAGCAAACAUACACUUCCUGUUCACUAUCGCCAUAACAAGAAAGCCUGGAUGACAUCGGCAUUGUUUGAAGACUGGUUUUUGAACUGUUUUAUUCCACAGGUAAAAGAAUAUUGUAAGCAAAACAACAUUGCAUUUAAGAUUCUUCUGAUUUUAGAUGAUGCUCCUGGGCAUCCACAACAUAUUGGCACCAUGCAUCCUGAUGUAAAAGUGGUCUAUUUACCGCUGAACACUACCAUGCUCAUUCAACCAAUGGACCAAGGUGCAAUAGCUGCAUUCAAAGCACAAUACUUACGUCAAACAUUUACGCAGGCUGUCAGAGCAACUGAAUCUGGCCAAACACUCCUAGAGUUUUGGAAAGGGUUUAACAUUCUGAAUGCUAUCCAGAAUAUUGCUGCAGCAUGGGAAGAAGUCACAGAGCAGUGCAUGAACUGCAUUUGGAAGAAAGUUUUGAAGACAUAUGGGAACACAUUCAAAGGCUUUAACAAAGAUCACACUGUUGAUGAAAUAGUAGGUAAUAAGAUAUUAGUGGUUGGAAAACAGCUAGAAUUGGACAUCAAUGAAGAGGAUAUUCAUGAGAUUGUCAGCAUUAAGGCUGAGGAGAUUUCUAAUGAGGAACUGAUUGAAUUGCAGGAAGAAAGAAGUAAGGAAGUUGAAGCAGAGGAAGAAAUUGUACCCAAGCAACUAAAAAAGUUCACAACAAAAAAACUGGCAGAGGCAUUUGCUACCAUCAGCAGGGGCAUGAGAAUGUUAGAAGAAAUGGAUGGCAAUUAUGAGAGAUUUGCAAGAGCCGACAGGCAGAUACAGGAUGCUCUUGUUUGUUAUAGAGAAAUAUAUGAUGAAAAGAAAAAACAAACUGUGUGUUCAAAACUUGAUAGCAUCAUGAAAAACACUGUGCCUGCUAAGCCAUCAACAAAUGUCAAUGCUCCCAUGCCUUCCAUCAGCUAUUCUCAAGUCUCCUCAGAAGGGAGGAAAAUUGAUAACCCAGGAGCUGUAGCAUCCACAUCAUCCAGGAAUAAAUUUUAGUUCAGUGCUUCAGCAUUCUUCAGGCCAAGUGUGUUUUCAGCUGUGUGCAUUAAUGGUUGCACUGCUGUGAUCUGUUACCUCCUGAAGAUGCAUCCUGACUUGUCUCUACACCUGCACACAGAAGAAUGCAACAUCUUGAUUAACUUGCUUAAGGAAUGUCACAAAAAUUACAUGGAAAAGAGAACCAGAAGCAGGGAACGCGGGAAUGACUUGCGAAAAAGACUUUUCAAUCCUUCAGAGGAAUCUGAAAAAUAAGUUAUAUUUCACUGGAUGACUUGGCUGAGAGAAGACCUAAGGACUGUUGGUUGAUAGCUGAAAGAAUCCUUUGUUACUUGGUCUCCAGAAUCCUUGGAAUGGAAAGUGACCCAUGAGGAAUUGAAUUGUGGAGAAAUAUGAAGACCUAGAUUCUGAAUAUUUGUUUAGCAGAGCCUUUAGUACUAUCAGUUCUGCCAACACACUUGACUUCCUCUGUGUUUAUUCACUUGUCUAUAUCCACUUGAGUAACUCCUUCAAUAAAAUAAUUUAAGUCA